UACGAAGGGGGCUAGCGUUGCUCGGAAUUACUGGGCGUAAAGGGAGCGUAGGCGGAUAGUUUAGUCAGAGGUGAAAGCCCAGGGCUCAACCUUGGAAUUGCCUUUGAUACUGGCUAUCUUGAGUACGGAAGAGGUAUGUGGAACUCCGAGUGUAGAGGUGAAAUUCGUAGAUAUUCGGAAGAACACCAGUGGCGAAGGCGACAUACUGGUCCGGUACUGACGCUGAGGUGCGAAAGCGUGGGGAGCGAACAGG
rnacentral:rRNA from 1 species